CCCUUAGAUGUCCUGGGCCGCACGCGCGUUACACUGAUGCAUUCAACGAGCUUAUAACCUUGGCCGAGAGGCCUGGGCAAUCUUGUUAACGUGCAUCGUGAUAGGGAUAGAUUAUUGAAAUUAUUAAUCUUGAACGAGGAAUUCCUAGUAAACGCAGAUCAUCAAUCUGCAUUGAUUACGUCCCUGCCCUUUGUACACACCGCCCGUCGCACCUACCGAUUGGAUGGUCCGGUGAAGCCUCGGGAUUGUGGUCCUUGCCGCUUUAUUGUGGCGUGACCGCGAGAACUUGUCUAAACCUUAUCAUCUAGAGGAAGGUGAAGUCGUAACA
rnacentral:rRNA from 1 species